rnacentral:rRNA from 1 species
GUUAAGCGACUAAGCGUACACGGUGGAUGCCCUGGCAGUCAGAGGCGAUGAAGGACGUGCUAAUCUGCGAUAAGCGUCGGUAAGGUGAUAUGAACCGUUAUAACCGGCGAUUUCCGAAUGGGGAAACCCAGUGUGAUUCGUCACACUAUCAUUAACUGAAUCCAUAGGUUAAUGAGGCGAACCGGGGGAACUGAAACAUCUAAGUACCCCGAGGAAAAGAAAUCAACCGAGAUUCCCCCAGUAGCGGCGAGCGAACGGGGAGCAGCCCAGAGCCUGAAUCAGUGUGUGUGUUAGUGGAAGCGUCUGGAAAGGCGUGCGAUACAGGGUGACAGCCCCGUACACAAAAAUGCACAUACUGUGAGCUCGAUGAGUAGGGCGGGACACGUGGUAUCCUGUCUGAAUAUGGGGGGACCAUCCUCCAAGGCUAAAUACUCCUGACUGACCGAUAGUGAACCAGUACCGUGAGGGAAAGGCGAAAAGAACCCCGGCGAGGGGAGUGAAAAAGAACCUGAAACCGUGUACGUACAAGCAGUGGGAGCACGCUUAGGCGUGUGACUGCGUACCUUUUGUAUAAUGGGUCAGCGACUUAUAUUCUGUAGCAAGGUUAACCGAAUAGGGGAGCCGAAGGGAAACCGAGUCUUAACUGGGCGUUAAGUUGCAGGGUAUAGACCCGAAACCCGGUGAUCUAGCCAUGGGCAGGUUGAAGGUUGGGUAACACUAACUGGAGGACCGAACCGACUAAUGUUGAAAAAUUAGCGGAUGACUUGUGGCUGGGGGUGAAAGGCCAAUCAAACCGGGAGAUAGCUGGUUCUCCCCGAAAGCUAUUUAGGUAGCGCCUCGUGAAUUCAUCUCCGGGGGUAGAGCACUGUUUCGGCAAGGGGGUCAUCCCGACUUACCAACCCGAUGCAAACUGCGAAUACCGGAGAAUGUUAUCACGGGAGACACACGGCGGGUGCUAACGUCCGUCGUGAAGAGGGAAACAACCCAGACCGCCAGCUAAGGUCCCAAAGUCAUGGUUAAGUGGGAAACGAUGUGGGAAGGCCCAGACAGCCAGGAUGUUGGCUUAGAAGCAGCCAUCAUUUAAAGAAAGCGUAAUAGCUCACUGGUCGAGUCGGCCUGCGCGGAAGAUGUAACGGGGCUAAACCAUGCACCGAAGCUGCGGCAGCGACGCUUAUGCGUUGUUGGGUAGGGGAGCGUUCUGUAAGCCUGUGAAGGUGUACUGUGAGGUAUGCUGGAGGUAUCAGAAGUGCGAAUGCUGACAUAAGUAACGAUAAAGCGGGUGAAAAGCCCGCUCGCCGGAAGACCAAGGGUUCCUGUCCAACGUUAAUCGGGGCAGGGUGAGUCGACCCCUAAGGCGAGGCCGAAAGGCGUAGUCGAUGGGAAACAGGUUAAUAUUCCUGUACUUGGUGUUACUGCGAAGGGGGGACGGAGAAGGCUAUGUUGGCCGGGCGACGGUUGUCCCGGUUUAAGCGUGUAGGCUGGUUUUCCAGGCAAAUCCGGAAAAUCAAGGCCGAGGCGUGAUGACGAGGCACUACGGUGCUGAAGCAACAAAUGCCCUGCUUCCAGGAAAAGCCUCUAAGCAUCAGGUAACAUCAAAUCGUACCCCAAACCGACACAGGUGGUCAGGUAGAGAAUACCAAGGCGCUUGAGAGAACUCGGGUGAAGGAACUAGGCAAAAUGGUGCCGUAACUUCGGGAGAAGGCACGCUGAUACGUAGGUGAAGCGACUUGCUCGUGGAGCUGAAAUCAGUCGAAGAUACCAGCUGGCUGCAACUGUUUAUUAAAAACACAGCACUGUGCAAACACGAAAGUGGACGUAUACGGUGUGACGCCUGCCCGGUGCCGGAAGGUUAAUUGAUGGGGUUAGCGCAAGCGAAGCUCUUGAUCGAAGCCCCGGUAAACGGCGGCCGUAACUAUAACGGUCCUAAGGUAGCGAAAUUCCUUGUCGGGUAAGUUCCGACCUGCACGAAUGGCGUAAUGAUGGCCAGGCUGUCUCCACCCGAGACUCAGUGAAAUUGAACUCGCUGUGAAGAUGCAGUGUACCCGCGGCAAGACGGAAAGACCCCGUGAACCUUUACUAUAGCUUGACACUGAACAUUGAGCCUUGAUGUGUAGGAUAGGUGGGAGGCUUUGAAGUGUGGACGCCAGUCUGCAUGGAGCCGACCUUGAAAUACCACCCUUUAAUGUUUGAUGUUCUAACGUGGACCCGUAAUCCGGGUUGCGGACAGUGUCUGGUGGGUAGUUUGACUGGGGCGGUCUCCUCCUAAAGAGUAACGGAGGAGCACGAAGGUUGGCUAAUCCUGGUCGGACAUCAGGAGGUUAGUGCAAUGGCAUAAGCCAGCUUGACUGCGAGCGUGACGGCGCGAGCAGGUGCGAAAGCAGGUCAUAGUGAUCCGGUGGUUCUGAAUGGAAGGGCCAUCGCUCAACGGAUAAAAGGUACUCCGGGGAUAACAGGCUGAUACCGCCCAAGAGUUCAUAUCGACGGCGGUGUUUGGCACCUCGAUGUCGGCUCAUCACAUCCUGGGGCUGAAGUAGGUCCCAAGGGUAUGGCUGUUCGCCAUUUAAAGUGGUACGCGAGCUGGGUUUAGAACGUCGUGAGACAGUUCGGUCCCUAUCUGCCGUGGGCGCUGGAGAACUGAGGGGGGCUGCUCCUAGUACGAGAGGACCGGAGUGGACGCAUCACUGGUGUUCGGGUUGUCAUGCCAAUGGCACUGCCCGGUAGCUAAAUGCGGAAGAGAUAAGUGCUGAAAGCAUCUAAGCACGAAACUUGCCCCGAGAUGA